rnacentral:lncRNA from 1 species
AGAGAGCCCCAGUCCCCGGGGGGAGCCGCCGUCAGGGCUGCCCAGCUCCGCAGAGGGCAGCACUGGCUGCUCUGGCCCGUAGAAGCUGUGGUCGGCUAUGCGCAGCGCCUGCGUCAGCGCCCAGAUGUAGUUGUGGGCGAAGCGCAGCGUCUCGAUCUUGGUGAGCUUCGCGUCGUCGGGGAAUGUGGGCAGGACUCCGCGCAGCGCGUCCAGCGCGGAGUUGAGGUUGUGCAUGCGAUUGCGCUCGCGGUCGUUGGCUUUCUUGCGCCGACUCCGUCGCUGCUUGCUCAGCGCCAGCUCGCUCUUGGGCCGGCUGCGCCCCCCGCGCCGCGCCCGGAGUUUCCUCGCUGCCCCUCGGCAGCCGCCUCCUUCAGCUUCCGCGCAGUCCCGGAGCAUAAGUGUGGGGCUAGGCGGGGCGGACAAGGCGCUGGGCACUUCGCGGUCCGAAGCUCCGGGGAAGGGUGGCUCGGUCUCAUGGGUCGCUCGGAGAGUGGGCGCACCCAAAGGAUGAGGCACCAUCCUGCCGCAGGCUCAGAGCCCUCUAGGGCUCUCAGGCCGCCACCACUCCUCUUUGCGCAAAAAGCAGUUAGGAAGAGGCGCGCGCCGCGGCGGAAUCAGCUGCCUCCCUGCAGAGGCAAGGAUGCGCGCCGCUCUCGCUCCGGCCAGGAAGUGGGGGCGGAGGUCGAAGAGUCCCUGGAGAUUCGAAAUUGGUAAUCAACGCCCUCCCUCUUGGCUGCCGGGGACGUACAGACCCCUAUCCAAAGUUAAUUCCUGAGCUUUUGGCGGCGGAGGCGCAAAUGGUUACCGCUCCGUGCGCCCUGGCUAUGUUUGUAAAACCGCUGGUCCCGCCCGGAGCAGAGCCCGUUCCCGCAGCUCCUAGUCAUCCACCGCCUCCAGGAACCCCGCGCCCCUCGAUUCCUUCGGAACUAGGCUUGCUUGGAGGAUGAAAGGGUCCAAGAGAGAGGCGACAGCCAGGCGCCUGGAGAACGCGGGCAGAUUGGAAAAGAAGGAAGGCAGCGGCUGCUCCUACCGCCUUCCCGUCGGCAGGGGAGGGGGGUCUUAGCACUGCCUGGGGGCUCUUUGAGAACGGAGUGGGGAGGGAGGGGGGCCGCAGGAAGCUGAAUAGCUAGUGGCUUGCCAGAGAAGGGGGCUUCUUUCUCUCGCCUUCGCCUCGGCACUGAAAGAGGAGAAGACAAAAAUCUGGCGAGCGAGCUGCCCGGGCCGAGACGGGCCACUUCAAACAGCCCUUCAAACAAAAGGAGACGGCGAAAAGAAAGCCCCACCUGUCUCCAGUGUUUGCUAAAAUAAUAAUAAAUAGAUUUCGUUUAAUAAAUAAUUACA